GCCUGGGUGGCUCAGUGGGUUAAGCAUCUGGCUUUGGCUCAGGUCAUGAUCUCACCUUUCGUGGGUUCAAGCUCCACCUCAGACU
rfam:Felis catus isolate Cinnamon breed Abyssinian chromosome A3, whole genome shotgun sequence.